UCCCUGUGGGUGGCCCUGGUCCCCACUGGGGGCUCCAACUCGGUCUGUGGAAGGUGCCCCUGCCUGUGGCAGUGGAUGGGACCAGAUGUCCCUUCCCUAAACCAGCCAGAAAUUCUGUGAUAACAUCCUGAUACCUGCUGGAAGGGCAGCAUGGCAGGGCUGGAGCAGGAAGCAAUAUUUUGAUGGUGUACCUGGGCAGGACUGCGUGGGGAUGUGAGAGCAGUGGAGGUCAGUGCUCAGGGCAGGCAGGAGUGCAGGCAGCACAGAGCUUGAUGCCCCUGGCAGGGUGUGCAGCCCUCCGAUUUCACGUGAGCUGCUUUCACUGAGCCAGUGGCUCUGGCAGGAGGCUGCUCCAAGGGGCAGAGGAGCUGGGGAGCACGGCCUUUGGGAACGAGCUCAAGGCUGCAGAUUCCACCACUCCAGGCCCUGCUCCAGCUGCUCAUGCUGUGGAUGUUCACUGGGAUUUUAAAGGGGAAAUUCCACCAGAGCAUGAGUACCCUGGAGCUGGAAGGCCAGGCUGGCAGGAAGGGUUGUAGUGGGACAAUCCCUCCUAGGAGAUACUUAUACCAGAUUGGACACUGACUUGGACAGCCUGCUUCAGCCAGCCCUGAUGAGCAGGGCUGGGGCUGGUGGGGCUCUGGGGGCCUCUUGCCCCUCACACAGCCAGGGGUGCCUUCCCAGCUGGAGGCACCACAACCCCUCUGGGCAGCCUGUUGCAGGCACCCUGUGUGAUCAGCCUCGCUGCAAAAAGAAACCCAAACCUUUGGAGGCCAGUUUGUGCCUGUUGCUGCUGGUCCUGUCACUGGGCUCCACUGGGAAGAGCCUGGCUCUUCUGUGUACACAAAGGUACCCCAAAACAUUCCAGUUCCUCCUCAUGCAGCACAUGCUGCAGCCCCUUUGGCAUUGCUCUCCUGGACUCCAGAUGUCACGUCCUCCUUGCUCCAGGAAGCCCCAGCAUGGCCAGGAUGCUGCAUCCACAGCUCUCCACACCUCACGGAGGGGAGGGCUCCCUCUCUCCCUUCAUCCUCCCCAGCCAGUGGGCUGUUGUCCACCUGGAUCCGCUGGGAAGGGAUGUCACUGCUGCCUCUCUGACUCAGUGUCACCACUGAGGAUUUUGUUGUCCCUCAUGUCCCUCAGUAGCUGUAGUUGGACGCUUGUGAUUGGUAAUUACAUCAUGAACCUUGCAGGCUCGACUAAUCUUCUAAGGGAAAGGGAAGAGCACUCCAAGAGCACUGGGCUGGCUGGAUGAGAGGCACCAGGAUGUCGCCAGCAGGACUGAACAGCACCAGGGGAAAAGGUAAUUCUGGCAACAGGAGAUCACAAUCAGUGGCUCACUGACCACCUACUCAGAAUGGACCCCAAGUCAAACUGAGGAAAAAGCUGCACCUGUGGAGGGAGAUACACCCAGCAAAGAGGGGUUUGAGUCCUAAUUAAUAACAGUUCUGUAAUUGGUAACAAAUGAAUGCCGGUUAUUUGCUCAAAUGUAUCAACAGUGUAAGGUUCUGAUGCUCAGCCUUGGGGAAACCCUCAGCUCCUGGCUCUGCACUAAGCAGAAUAAACCCAGAAAUCCCUUGCCUUGAUUUGUGGCUUGUCAGUGCACAGCAGGAAGCCCACAGCAGUUUUGGAUGACCCAGAUGGGAUAUCCAGAGUGCCCUGCCCCGGCUGACCGGCCGCUCCAGGCAGGACGAGUUCCCGCGCACGCCAACCUCGUGAUCGGGUACCGCGGAUGAGCAGCCCUGGCACCGGCACAGCCCCUGACUCCAUGGCACAACACGAUCUGUAGAGGGAUUUCCUCGCUGAAGGGGGUGGUUGGAAGUUGCCAGGAGGUAGGAUUUUGGGUUUGGGUUCUGCAUAAGCUGAAGAAAAGAAGUAUUUUGUUUCUACAGUUUGGUGAUGCAUGUCUUGGAUUUUUGAUGUUUGCACAUGUUUUUCACAUGCAGAGCUGGUGAUGUGAAAACUGGGAUUUGGAUGCGUGCAUCGGCAUGGUGUAUGAAACACUGGAAAUUCCACAGCUGAAAUGGUUCCUCUGCUUCUGUGAAAAUUCCACUUUGCUGUCCUCUAGGAUGCAUCCUGGAGAGUUAGGGUGACCCUAGGAUUCAAGAUAAAUUGAAAAGAUACUGUAAUCAAUGGUUGCCUCAUUCUGAAUUAAAUGAUGGUGCAAAAAGGAUGGAAAAUAGCAGGUCUUUAAAAUACAAAACAGUUUUAGAGUUGAUGUUACUUUGUAGGAGGCAGAAUGAAUGGGAUGAAGUCCCUGAUGUAGAUCUGGUUUUCACUUGAAGAACUAAUUAAUAAAGUAAGAAAAAAUAUGGUUUAGUAUCUUCAAAAAUAUCAAAAUGGAAUAUGUUCUUUGGGAAAUGAAGAAAAGAGGAUAAGGGGAAAAAUACUUGUUGUAUGAGACAAGAAGAUAAAAGAGACAAAAACCUCAAGUGCAACUCUUGGCAGCUCCUCCGAAGGAAGGAUGAAAGCUGGAGGUGGGCAGUGUGUCUGGAGAUGAAACGGUGCCUUUGACACAUCCCUCACCUCCAGCAGGAUCAGGGAGAAAGGUAAGUUGGUAUUACAAACACACCUGGGGCAGCAGAGGGACCGUGUGCAGGUGCUGGUCACACUUCAGACUUGCUGAAUCAGAAGCAGAGAGCAGGGUCAUCCCACAGAAAUCCUGAUGGAAUGUGUGGAGUGAUUAAAACCAUGAUGUCAAUUCAUAAUCCAAACCAGGAGGACAUCCAGGCUCUCCUGGAAUAUUUGCUUCCCCAUGAGGAAUGGAAGACAAUUUAGAAAAGGCUUGAGAAGAAGGAGUUAGGAAAACAGGAUUAGAUCAAAUGGUUCAUGGCAACCCAAAUCCUCACAAAUUUCAUCCUAAAAAGGACCCAGGGUGGGAUCUCAACCAGAGUGCUGGUUUUUGAAUUGGAGGCCCCACCCUUCCCUUGGGUACCCUGGACAGUCUUUUCAAUCUGGAGAAGCGUUUGAGGAUGAAAGGAAGAGACUCUACAAGAAAGGUGGGAAGGUGCUUUCCCAGAAGUGUUAAGGAAAAACACUGCAGUGAAAAGGACAGGAAUCAACUCUUGGAUCUCUUGCUUGUGUGAAAAGGCUCCCUGAGUCCGGACAAGACACAUGGAAUUCACACCAAACUGGAAACCUGAAGUUCCAACUGACUGAGGACAUAGAAGUAUGUUCUUCAAUUUUUUUAAUCUGUUUAUGUAAAUUAAUUUUUCAAGUGAAGUACUUAUAUAAUA